rnacentral:rRNA from 1 species
UUAAAUGGCCGCGGUAUCCUAACCGUGCAAAGGUAGCGUAAUCACUUGUCUACUAAUUAUAGACCUGUAUGAACGGCAUCACGAGGGCUAUACUGUCUCCCCCCUUUAAUCAGUGAAACUGAUCUUCCCGUGAAAAAGCGGGAAUAUAACUAUAAGACGAGAAGACCCCAUGGAGCUUUAAACUAAGAGCCAAUUACUAACCCCCCCCACCAAAUAUUGUAACCCUGACUCAAAGUUUUAGGUUGGGGUGACCGCGGAGCACAACAAAACCUCCACAAUGAACGAACAUAAAACUCUUACCCGAGAUCUACACCUCAAAGGACCACUAACGUGACAUCAAUUGACCCAAUCACUUGAUCAACGAACCUAGUUACCCUGGGGAUAACAGCGCAAUCCAUUUCAAGAGCCCUUAUCGACAAAUGGGUUUACGACCUCGA